rnacentral:rRNA from 1 species
GCGUGAUGGAUGAAGGCUCUUCGGAUUGUAAACCUCUUCCAGGCAGGGGAAUAAGCUGAAUGUGAAGGUACCUGCUAGUAAGAAGCAACGAGCUCAACUAAUGAUGCCUACGCGAGCCUGACGUGUCAAGUACCAUACGAGGUCGCAAUGCUAGUUAGUCCAAGCGAACUUCAUAGGCGGCNGAUAACANGAAGCUUCCAGUUAGUGUCGUGUCAAGAUCGACUGCUCUGGAUGGUUGAUAAGAUCUUAGAUGGCGUGUUAGCCGUACAAUGACCUUGGCGAGUUCAAGUUCACGUGAGGUUCGACGCUAUCAUGUAGUACGGUACGCGGAGACGACGUAGGUAAGUUCUCAUAGGGUUGUUAUGCGUGGUAGAGCAUAUCGCCAGCUAGGGAUUACUCGAUGGGAAGAGUAGUCGAUCCUGANUUAGUGCUGGACAAGAGCNAAGCGUGCCCCGUGUGNGUGCACGAAUNUNACNUUAGANCNAACCUUGGAGGAGGACGUCUGAAACAUGGUAGUUGCGGUGNAGGGCCGACAGCAUGAGGACUCUAGGAGUGNACCGCCUUGAGCUGAGGUACGCUACAANCGCAGCUCACACAGCGGUGUAUGUGCGCCUGGCUUCA